rnacentral:rRNA from 1 species
GGUUAAGCGACUAAGCGUACACGGUGGAUGCCCUGGCAGUCAGAGGCGAUGAAGGACGUGCUAAUCUGCGAUAAGCGUCGGUAAGGUGAUAUGAACCGUUAUAACCGGCGAUUUCCGAAUGGGGAAACCCAGUGUGAUUCGUCACACUAUCAUUAACUGAAUCCAUAGGUUAAUGAGGCGAACCGGGGGAACUGAAACAUCUAAGUACCCCGAGGAAAAGAAAUCAACCGAGAUUCCCCCAGUAGCGGCGAGCGAACGGGGAGCAGCCCAGAGCCUGAAUCAGUGUGUGUGUUAGUGGAAGCGUCUGGAAAGGCGCGCGAUACAGGGUGACAGCCCCGUACACAAAAAUGCACAUGCUGUGAGCUCGAUGAGUAGGGCGGGACACGUGGUAUCCUGUCUGAAUAUGGGGGGACCAUCCUCCAAGGCUAAAUACUCCUGACUGACCGAUAGUGAACCAGUACCGUGAGGGAAAGGCGAAAAGAACCCCGGCGAGGGGAGUGAAAAAGAACCUGAAACCGUGUACGUACAAGCAGUGGGAGCACGCUUAGGCGUGUGACUGCGUACCUUUUGUAUAAUGGGUCAGCGACUUAUAUUCUGUAGCAAGGUUAACCGAAUAGGGGAGCCGAAGGGAAACCGAGUCUUAACUGGGCGUUAAGUUGCAGGGUAUAGACCCGAAACCCGGUGAUCUAGCCAUGGGCAGGUUGAAGGUUGGGUAACACUAACUGGAGGACCGAACCGACUAAUGUUGAAAAAUUAGCGGAUGACUUGUGGCUGGGGGUGAAAGGCCAAUCAAACCGGGAGAUAGCUGGUUCUCCCCGAAAGCUAUUUAGGUAGCGCCUCGUGAAUUCAUCUCCGGGGGUAGAGCACUGUUUCGGCAAGGGGGUCAUCCCGACUUACCAACCCGAUGCAAACUGCGAAUACCGGAGAAUGUUAUCACGGGAGACACACGGCGGGUGCUAACGUCCGUCGUGAAGAGGGAAACAACCCAGACCGCCAGCUAAGGUCCCAAAGUCAUGGUUAAGUGGGAAACGAUGUGGGAAGGCCCAGACAGCCAGGAUGUUGGCUUAGAAGCAGCCAUCAUUUAAAGAAAGCGUAAUAGCUCACUGGUCGAGUCGGCCUGCGCGGAAGAUGUAACGGGGCUAAACCAUGCACCGAAGCUGCGGCAGCGACGCUUAUGCGUUGUUGGGUAGGGGAGCGUUCUGUAAGCCUGUGAAGGUGUACUGUGAGGUAUGCUGGAGGUAUCAGAAGUGCGAAUGCUGACAUAAGUAACGAUAAAGCGGGUGAAAAGCCCGCUCGCCGGAAGACCAAGGGUUCCUGUCCAACGUUAAUCGGGGCAGGGUGAGUCGACCCCUAAGGCGAGGCCGAAAGGCGUAGUCGAUGGGAAACAGGUUAAUAUUCCUGUACUUGGUGUUACUGCGAAGGGGGGACGGAGAAGGCUAUGUUGGCCGGGCGACGGUUGUCCCGGUUUAAGCGUGUAGGCUGGUUUUCCAGGCAAAUCCGGAAAAUCAAGGCUGAGGCGUGAUGACGAGGCACUACGGUGCUGAAGCAACAAAUGCCCUGCUUCCAGGAAAAGCCUCUAAGCAUCAGGUAACAUCAAAUCGUACCCCAAACCGACACAGGUGGUCAGGUAGAGAAUACCAAGGCGCUUGAGAGAACUCGGGUGAAGGAACUAGGCAAAAUGGUGCCGUAACUUCGGGAGAAGGCACGCUGAUAUGUAGGUGAAGUCCCUCGCGGAUGGAGCUGAAAUCAGUCGAAGAUACCAGCUGGCUGCAACUGUUUAUUAAAAACACAGCACUGUGCAAACACGAAAGUGGACGUAUACGGUGUGACGCCUGCCCGGUGCCGGAAGGUUAAUUGAUGGGGUUAGCGCAAGCGAAGCUCUUGAUCGAAGCCCCGGUAAACGGCGGCCGUAACUAUAACGGUCCUAAGGUAGCGAAAUUCCUUGUCGGGUAAGUUCCGACCUGCACGAAUGGCGUAAUGAUGGCCAGGCUGUCUCCACCCGAGACUCAGUGAAAUUGAACUCGCUGUGAAGAUGCAGUGUACCCGCGGCAAGACGGAAAGACCCCGUGAACCUUUACUAUAGCUUGACACUGAACAUUGAGCCUUGAUGUGUAGGAUAGGUGGGAGGCUUUGAAGUGUGGACGCCAGUCUGCAUGGAGCCGACCUUGAAAUACCACCCUUUAAUGUUUGAUGUUCUAACGUUGACCCGUAAUCCGGGUUGCGGACAGUGUCUGGUGGGUAGUUUGACUGGGGCGGUCUCCUCCUAAAGAGUAACGGAGGAGCACGAAGGUUGGCUAAUCCUGGUCGGACAUCAGGAGGUUAGUGCAAUGGCAUAAGCCAGCUUGACUGCGAGCGUGACGGCGCGAGCAGGUGCGAAAGCAGGUCAUAGUGAUCCGGUGGUUCUGAAUGGAAGGGCCAUCGCUCAACGGAUAAAAGGUACUCCGGGGAUAACAGGCUGAUACCGCCCAAGAGUUCAUAUCGACGGCGGUGUUUGGCACCUCGAUGUCGGCUCAUCACAUCCUGGGGCUGAAGUAGGUCCCAAGGGUAUGGCUGUUCGCCAUUUAAAGUGGUACGCGAGCUGGGUUUAGAACGUCGUGAGACAGUUCGGUCCCUAUCUGCCGUGGGCGCUGGAGAAUUGAGGGGGGCUGCUCCUAGUACGAGAGGACCGGAGUGGACGCAUCACUGGUGUUCGGGUUGUCAUGCCAAUGGCACUGCCCGGUAGCUAAAUGCGGAAGAGAUAAGUGCUGAAAGCAUCUAAGCACGAAACUUGCCCCGAGAUGAGUUCUCCCUGACUCCUUGAGAGUCCUGAAGGAACGUUGAAGACGACGACGUUGAUAGGCCGGGUGUGUAAGCGCAGCGAUGCGUUGAGCUAACCGGUACUAAUGAACCGUGAGGCUUAACCUU